UACCGCAUACGUCCUACGGGAGAAAGCAGGGGACCUUCGGGCCUUGCGCUAUCAGAUGAGCCUAGGUCGGAUUAGCUAGUUGGUGGGGUAAUGGCUCACCAAGGCGACGAUCCGUAACUGGUCUGAGAGGAUGAUCAGUCACACUGGAACUGAGACACGGUCCAGACUCCUACGGGAGGCAGCAGUGGGGAAUAUUGGACAAUGGGCGAAAGCCUGAUCCAGCCAUGCCGCGUGUGUGAAGAAGGUCUUCGGAUUGUAAAGCACUUUAAGUUGGGAGGAAGGGCAGUUACCUAAUACGUGAUUGUUUUGACGUUACCGACAGAAUAAGCACCGGCUAACUCUGUGCCAGCAGCCGCGGUAAUACAGAGG
rnacentral:rRNA from 1 species